rnacentral:rRNA from 1 species
GAUGAACGCUAGCUACAGGCUUAACACAUGCAAGUCGAGGGGAAACGAUAUUGGAAGCUUGCUUCCGAUAGGCGUCGACCGGCGCACGGGUGAGUAACGCGUAUCCAACCUGCCCACCACUUGGGGAUAACCUUGCGAAAGUAAGACUAAUACCCGAUGAUAUCCCUAGAAGACAUCUGAAAGGGAUUAAAGAUUUAUCGGUGAUGGAUGGGGAUGCGUCUGAUUAGCUUGUUGGCGGGGUAACGGCCCACCAAGGCUACGAUCAGUAGGGGUUCUGAGAGGAAGGUCCCCCACAUUGGAACUGAGACACGGUCCAAAACUCCUACGGGAGGCAGCAGUGAGGAAUAUUGGUCAAUGGACGAGAGUCUGAACCAGCCAAGUAGCGUGCAGGAUGACGGCCCUAUGGGUUGUAAACUGCUUUUAUAAGGGAAUAAAGUUAGUCUCGUGAGACUUUUUGCAUGUACCUUAUGAAUAAGACCGGCUAAUUCCGUGCCAGCAGCCG